CUCUGGGAGAUCUCGCUCGUGACCUUCCCGCUGCAGCCGGGGGCCAGGGCGCGCCCAACCCCGGUUCCGGGCCCGGGCCCGGAGGCC
rnacentral:tRNA from 1 species